UUUAUUAUUAUUACUACUGUUAUUCUUAAUAUAAUUAUAAACCUGUACAUUUUGCAAAACGUUUUUCAGAACAGUUUGAAAAGUUAACUUUACGUUUACAUGUAUGUAAUCUUUGGCUGGCGAGCUAAUUGUUAAUGACUGCAACACUGGUUACGGUGGUUUGCCUCGUAAAACUGGAGAAAUCGACACUUAAUGUUGCAUUGUCAGCAAAAUACGAUAAAAAUGCAUUUUGCUCAAAGUUCAGUCUAUGUUCUUGAUGAACGGAAAAUUCCCAAUACUUUAAGACGAUAUUUAACCUAAAUUAAGAUCUUUUAAGUUUCGUUUUGUUGUUUGUAAUAUAUUUUAUAAAUUGUAUUCAUCCAUCCAUUCAUUUCCUAACGAAUGUUAACGUAGUGUUUAUUUAACUUUUAAUUAUUUUCUUUUUUGGGGGGUGGGCGCGACUUUUUAAUGAAAAUGAAACAAACAUAUUCCUAUUCGGUUAAGAAGUGAACAUUAAGUCUUCAAAUGAGAAAGUAAUCUAGGUAUAAGCUUCAAAAUUCUACACCACUUUAUAAUAAAUUAUGUUUUCUUAUUUAGCCAGUGAAGUAGUGUCAAAUGAUGUUGCUUUUAAGAAAGCUGAGAAAUUAAAAUCCUUUGCCCAAAUUGAAUGUUCAGAAUUUGGUGCAUUAGUUAACAAGUCUAAAUCUUCCUUCAUUUUCUUACUACAUUUGUGAAAGAUCUUUUUCUUUCUCUUUGGUAAGCCACAUUUAAGUAUUAUAAAUUAGUUUUUAAAUCUUGGAUGUGUACCUACAUUAUUUAUACUGGCUAAUAACCUCUUCUUAAUGUAAAAAAAGAAAUCUUUUUAACUGUGAUCUAUCAAAUUAUAGACCAAUUUUCUAAUCUUUCUUGUAUUUCUGAAAUUUAGAGAAAGGUGUAGGUAAGUGGUUCUCUAUAUUUUUGCAAAUAAAAGUAAUCUCUUGUAACAUUUUCACCCAGGUACUGCUUUAGUCAAAGUAUUCAAUGAUUUGCACUCCACUGACGAAGGUUGCAUUUUUAGGCCCAUAGUAUUACAUCUACAAAACACAUAACUAUUCAAUUGGGAGAGUCAGUACCACUGCUGACUCAAUGCAACAGAUGUUGCACCUUGUUCCAUUGUCCUUUUGUAGUGGUAAUGUUUUUAAGCCCUCCAAACUGGAAAAAUUAAAAAAGCAUUUGAAGAGUCAUUUCAAGAAGGCAGUUCUCCAUGAAGUAACAUGACAAAACGAAUAUCUUCAGGCACAUGGAUACUAAUUAAAAACAAGAAUCUUCCACAGCAGUUGGUUGGGUCAGUGGAUUGUGGAGUAUUCAUGUUGAUGGACAAAGGCGUUCACUAAAGGGGCACUGGAGAGUGUGAAUGAGACCCAGAGCAGUGAGGAGGAACCACUAAUAAAAAGGGACCUCCACACUGCAGUAAAAUGGUUGCCCAACAU